rnacentral:rRNA from 1 species
UAGCGGCGGACGGGUGAGUAACACGUGGGUAACCUGCCCAUAAGACUGGGAUAACAUAUCGCUACUGAUCUUCGGAAACGAAUGCUAAUACCGGAUACGCGAAUCGGUCGCAUGGCCGAAUCGGGAAAGGCGGAGCAAUCUGCCACUUAUGGAUGGACCCGCGGCGCAUUAGCUAGUUGGUGGGGUAACGGCUCACCAAGGCGACGAUGCGUAGCCGACCUGAGAGGGUGAUCGGCCACACUGGGACUGAGACACGGCCCAGACUCCUACGGGAGGCAGCAGUAGGGAAUCUUCCGCAAUGGACGAAAGUCUGACGGAGCAACGCCGCGUGAGUGAUGAAGGUUUUCGGAUCGUAAAGCUCUGUUGCCAGGGAAGAACGCUUACGAGAGUAACUGCUCGUAAGGUGACGGUACCUGAGAAGAAAGCCCCGGCUAACUACGUGCCAGCAGCCGCGGUAAUACGUAGGGGGCAAGCGUUGUCCGGAAUUAUUGGGCGUAAAGCGCGCGCAGGCGGCCUUGUAAGUCUGUCGUUUAAACUCGGAGCUCAACUUCGAGUCGCGAUGGAAACUGCAAAGCUUGAGUGCAGAAGAGGAAAGUGGAAUUCCACGUGUAGCGGUGAAAUGCGUAGAGAUGUGGAGGAACACCAGUGGCGAAGGCGAC